rnacentral:lncRNA from 1 species
UUCCAUACAGAGGUAAAAAAGAAAAAAAAUGGCGCAAUACUACUAAAUACAAGAAUACAAAAAGAAAAGGGGAAUGUGCAUUUGCUCUUAUAAGAUUCCGUUCCUUAACGAGGAAUUUAGUCACAUGAUGUUGUUUAAUUUGAGAUGUUGUUCAUAAUGUAGAUGCAGAAAUUAAUUAAAUCGUGGAAAGUUAAGACCAAAAUUAAACAAUUUGGAAUUGUACAUGUUGGUGGCAUAUCCACUUGUGUCCUUCGUAUUCCCUUCCAUCCUAUCAUGUGGUGUAGCAGCUAAUGGCUUCAACGCUCCCAACUGGAUCCCCAAAUUUCCUAUAAAAUCCCCCAAUAUCCCAAAAUAUCCUCUUAACACUCUUCUUUCAACACACCUAGAGUUACCUCCUCAAAAAUGGCAUCUCAUUUUAUUAACCUUUUCUUCACCUCUUUACUUGUUCUUCUCUUCCACAUCUCCCCUUCCACAUCUCUCACAUGUUCCUCUCAAACUUUCUCAGCCAACACUCGUUUCACCAAUUGCACUGAUCUACCUUCUCUCAAAUCUUUCCUUAAACACAACAUGUGUAAUUACACUGCGACAUUCAAACAUGACAUGUGUAAUUACAAUGUAAUUACACUGUGGCAACCAAACAAGUCAGUGUAAUUAUUAGAUUGGGUAAUUACUAGGCUGCUAAUUACUACCCUAGUAAUUACACCAAUUCUAAUUACUUGGUGGCUUUCCAAACAAACCCUAUUAGUGGAUAACACUUUUCCUUCCUACAUCAUGGAGAAAAAAUAAUUGAACGAGUAGGAAAAAAAAUAGGAGUAAUAAAUAGAGGAGAGGUUGUUAAAUAUUUCCCUCUCCAAUCUUAAAAUUACGGAUUUGAGUCAUUGAGGAAGCCGAGCAAAAAGGUAGAUGCUUCCAUACAGAGGUAAAAAAGAAAAAAAAUGGCGCAAUACUACUAAAUACAAGAAUACAAAAAGAAAAGGGGAAUGUGCAUUUGCUCUUAUAAGAUUCCGUUCCUUAACGAGGAAUUUAGUCACAUGAUGUUGUUUAAUUUGAGAUGUUGUUCAUAAUGUAGAUGCAGAAAUUAAUUAAAUCGUGGAAAGUUAAGACCAAAAUUAAACAAUUUGGAAUUGUACAUGUUGGUGGCAUAUCCACUUGUGUCCUUCGUAUUCCCUUCCAUCCUAUCAUGUGGUGUAGCAGCUAAUGGCUUCAACGCUCCCAACUGGAUCCCCAAAUUUCCUAUAAAAUCCCCCAAUAUCCCAAAAUAUCCUCUUAACACUCUUCUUUCAACACACCUAGAGUUACCUCCUCAAAAAUGGCAUCUCAUUUUAUUAACCUUUUCUUCACCUCUUUACUUGUUCUUCUCUUCCACAUCUCCCCUUCCACAUCUCUCACAUGUUCCUCUCAAACUUUCUCAGCCAACACUCGUUUCACCAAUUGCACUGAUCUACCUUCUCUCAAAUCUUUCCUUCAUUGGACAUUUGAUCCAGCCAAAUCGACUCUCUCUGUCGCUUUCCUCGCAUCUCCAGCUUCCCCUGAUGGCUGGGUUGCUUGGGGAAUUAACCCGGUUGCACCAACUAUGGUUGGAACACAAUCAUUUAU